UAUUGCACAAUGGGCGCAAGCCUGAUGCAGCCAUGCCGCGUGUAUGAAGAAGGCCUUCGGGUUGUAAAGUACUUUCAGUUGUGAGGAAGGGUGUGUAGUUAAUAGCUGCACAUCUUGACGUUAGCAACAGAAGAAGCACCGGCUAACUCCGUGCCAGCAGCCGCGGUAAUACGGAGGGUGCAAGCGUUAACCGGAUUUACUGGGUUUAAAGGGCAUGCAGGCGGGCCAUUAAGUCAGAUGUGAAAUCCCGGAGCUCAACUCGGGAACUGCCAUGGAAACUAUUUGUCUUGAAUAUUGUGGAGGGAAGUGGAAUUCUCAUGUAGCGGUGAAAUGCUUAGAUAUGACAUAGAACACCAUAUUGCGAAGGCGGCCCCCUAGACAUAUAUUGACACUGAGCGCGAAGCUG
rnacentral:rRNA from 1 species